AUCGUCAGAUUGACAUCCUGCUUGUGAAUAUGUUUUCUUGGCAUACCAGCCAGCUUUCAAAAGGCUAAUAGCGUCACGCGGUUAAAAUUAUUGUGAGAAUUUCACACUCGCAAGUGUGUGUCUUACAAUGGGAGGAUUUCUAGGCUUACCGAAAUACUUUGAUUCUGUUUUUCUUGCCCUAAUUUUUGUUUCCAUUCAAACUUUGGCUCAAGGAAAACAAACAAACGUUUGCACCACAUAUAAACUGAUAUCUCUUCAAUUAAUUGACAAUUUCAAUAAUAAAAAUGAAACACAGUAUUUAAAUUUGACUUGCGAUGAGAUCUUUUGCAAAGCAAGAAAUAAAAGCAGUUGUGUAAAAAACAAAUCACAUUGGGACUUGAAGCCUGACGCAAACAACUAUAACAUUUUUGCUGAUAAUUGUUUUCAAGACCAUUGCGAUGAUUGCCUUUUGCCACAAUUAGAUUUUGAGUAUUGCAAUGUGAGUGAUGCAGCCACAAACAAUUACACUUGCAAAUGCAAACAAAAUCGUACUUUACAUUUUGAAAGAUGCAAAGAAAAUAAAAAUAACUGGUGCAAUAAGCAUGCAAAAAUGCCAUCUACCGAAGAGCCGCAAUUAUAUCCUGAAAUUAUUGGAUGCGUAUUUGGAGUUGCUGCUUUCAUUAUCAUUGUCGUAGUGCUGUGCAUUUGUAUUUCAAGAAACAGAAAACAAACAGUAAUUAUUGACAACGUUAAGAUUCCAAAAAUUUAGAUGACACAGAAUUUUCAAAAGCUUUGUUUUAAUUAAAUAUUAAUUCAGUGGAAAAAAACAUUUUAUAUUUAUAUUUUCCGUUAAUUUGAAAAUAUCUUACAAAAAACUAGCAAAAUUGUGUAAUUUUGUUUGCAUGCCACACAUAUUUUAAUAGACAUGCCAGAAUAGCGGGCCCAAUUGAAAAUUAAUGUUUAAUCUGGUAUACAGAACGUGUCACGGUCAGGCCCUGUCGAAAAACACGCUGAUUGCUUUGACUUCUUUUUCUUUACUAUUAAAAGGAACAAAAAAAGAUACAAACCUGUGUUUCUAGAAAUAACCUUUCUAUAUCUUACCACUUCUUUCGGUGGGCGCUCGGUUUUCGUUAAUUUCUUAAACCAAAAAAUUGGUGUGUGAAAUAAACUUAAAUUAAAUAAAAUGAAAUGAUUCAACAAGAAUAAUAUAUUUCGCAACAAUUAUAGAGAAAUAAACAUCAAUGCUAAUAUUAUUCAUAAAAAGUUUAGAAGUCUGUGAUGAUGUUAUAAAAAUUUGAUGUCAUAUUAUUAUCAUUCUUGGCUUUGUUUACAACAAAGGCUGCGCAUCCCAAAAUUAUGUUCAAUUCAAUUCAAUUCAAUUUUAUUGUUGUUCUGUUAGACAAGAAUAUUAACAGUAGUCUUUAGAACAUGUCAGGUCUAAAAUUAAAAUUUAGAGAAAAAAACCCGUUGCUUAGGGCAAAGGGAAAAAACUAUAGGAUUAUAGCGCGAGAAAUUUCACUUGUCAAAACUGCACAGUAAGUAUUCGUGUAUGUCAUAGAAGUUGUGUUCACUUAGCACUUGUUUCACGGCUGCCGUCAGAGCCAUGGGGCCUUAUGGCUCGGGCGGAAGACAUCUUUUUUUUUUAGCCAACAUAAUAGAGCUGAUGCUCGGCCUUUGGUUUACAAACAAAUGGUACAAAGCGAGGAAUAAUUGAAAUGUAUUAAUUAAUAAAUAUUUCGUAACGUCAGUUAAUUCAUCACAAUAUAUCAUACAAAUCUUCCAUUUAAAAGAAGUGUAAGAAGGAUAAAAUAAAAAGUCAACCAAGGCUCACUGUAAUGGAUGUGGAUUUUUUAUCUUGGAAGUCUUAACAAAUCAUUGCUAGUCGUUGGAGCCUUUCUUUCAAAAAAAUUUUAUUUUGUAUAAAA